AUGAGAUGCUAACAAUUGUGCUAUGUUUUAAAGAUUGCACAGCUAGGAAGAAGAGAGAAGGGAGGAGCCAUGGAGGGAGAUACAUCCUUCCAGGUCAUGACCUCGGUGACUAUCUCUUCUGACCUCCUACUGGCAAGUCAGUAAAGCACUCCCAUUACGUAAUCACCUUCCAAAAGCCCCACCUGUGAGCACAUGAGGCCUCUGGAGGACGUUCAAUCUAAACCACAACAGAGUCACUUAACCUUUUCAUGCUUCAGAGUUGGGAAUCAAAUGAAUCGAUGUGAAGACUCGUAUCCUGGAAGAAGCUGGUUUCCUAGCAGAGUAUUCAGGGCUUCACGAGCCAGUAAGCCUGACAAACUACCUCCCUGUGCUACAUGAGGAUUGUCAUUCCUAUCGUCUUCAAAGUUGGGACAGAUGACUCGAACUUUCCAUAACUGCUUUAACAAUGUAGGAAACAUUGAAAAAGGGUGAGAAGAAAUACAAAUAAUGGUGCAUCCUUCCGUCCAAAGCCCCCCAAAUGUACCAGAAAUCUGUUUUUAUUAUUUCAAUCUAUCCUCAUCACCACUGGUUAAAUACAACCCAUGUCUUAGACUGAAG
rnacentral:lncRNA from 1 species